GUGAGGAAUUUUCCGCAAUGGGCGAAAGCCUGACGGAGCAAUGCCGCGUGAAGGAUGAAGGCCUAUGGGUUGUAAACUUCUUUUCUCAGAAAAGAAUUAUGACGGUAUCUGAGGAAUAAGCAUCGGCUAACUCUGUGCCAGCAGCCGCGGUAAGACAGAGGAUGCAAGCGUUAUCCGGAAUGAUUGGGCGUAAAGCGUCUGUAGGUUGUUUAAAAAGUAUUCUGUCAAAGAUUAGGGCUUAAACCUAGAGAGGCAGAAUAAACUUUUAAGCUAGAGGUUGGUAGAGGCAGAGGGAAUUCCCGGUGGAGAGGUGAAAUGCGUAGAUAGCGGGAGGAACACCAAAGGCGAAGGCACUCUGCUGGGCCAAUACUAACACUGAGAGACGAAAGCGAGGAGAGCAAAUGGGAUUAGAUACCCGUGUAGUCC
rnacentral:rRNA from 1 species